UGUAGGCGGGAAUGCAAGUCAGAUGUGAAAUACCGAGGCUUAACUUCGGGGCUGCAUCUGAAACUGCGUUUCUUGAGUGUCGGAGAGGAAAGUGGAAUUCCCAGUGUAGCGGUGAAAUGCGUAGAUAUUGGGAGGAACACCAGUGGCGAAGGCGACUUUCUGGACGAUAACUGACGCUGAGGCGCGAAAGCGUGGGGAGCAAACAGGAUUAGAUACCCUGGUAGUCCACGCCGUAAACGAUGGAUACUAGGUGUGGGAGGUAUCGACCCCUUCCGUGCCGCAGUUAACACAAUAAGUAUCCCACCUGGGGAGUACGGCCGCAAGGUUGAA
rnacentral:rRNA from 1 species